rnacentral:lncRNA from 1 species
CAGACUUCCUAGAGAGGUGCUCGAUGCUCCAUGCCUGUCAGUGUUCAAAAGGCUAACGCCCUCUCAAUAACAUGCUUUAACCUUUGAUUAGCCCUGAAAUGAUCAGGUAGUUGGACUCGGUGGUCUUUGAAGGUACCUUCCAGCUGAACUAUUCUACUCUACUCUACUCUACUCUACUCUACUCUACUCUACCCUACCUUACCCUACCCUACUCUACCCUACCCUACCCUGCACUACCUUUUGAGUAUGCCCGGUUUCAGACCUUUGGUUACCAACCAGCUGCCUCCCUAGCCAUGAUUCCCGGGGACAACAUGUGCUGCUGUCUCCCCCAGGAGCACCCAUGGCACCGAUUCACCUGCUGCAGUUACGAGCAAGCCCUGCCUUAGCUGCACCUCAUCCUAACACCACUAAAACUCAUGUUGACAACUUGUACAGUGGGACGAGCCGCAGCCUUGAACAAAGCUGGGUGCCACCAGACGGCAUUGGGUAGGCUGGCAGGUGGUACCAGGCUUGGUUUCCCAAGGCAGAAGCUGUUACGCUUCCUGGACAGCAUCUGAUUUGUUUCUCCAGUUGCACGGAGGAAAAAAUAGCCGAGGUUAAUAUUUUACCAGCAGGCAAUAAAGCUGACCUGGUAUUCAGACAUCUACAUGAGCUGACAGGGCUGUCACCUGGCAGCAGGGCUAUGCUGGCUGUCCCUGUGUGCCCCCAACCCGCUGCAGGCUGCAGCCAGGGCAGUGUCCCACACACGAGCUGGUUAGAGGCAUGCACUGGAAUAAUGUCAGUGGCUCCAGUCCUGGAAUAACUUGCUGAGAGGCUGUAACGUGAUCAUGCCUGAUCUCUUCGUGGUAUGCAUGAACUGUUUUGGUGCUAGAAAGCCUCUGUCUGCUAAACAGACUCAUGGAUUUUGGGGGUUGGUAACAGAUGCCAAAGCUGGCCCUGAUAGAACAGGGCGGAGGGCCACCACUAAGUGGUGAGGCAGGGCAGGAGCUCCCAGGGCUUUAUCUGGGAAGGGCGGUGUGAAUGGGACUGCAGGCAACAUCAGCUGCGAACAGACCCUCCUUUCAUCUAUCUCAGCUUUGAAGUGCAAAAUGAUGUGCUUCUACCUGGGAGGAAGCCUUGGCAUUUUUCUAGUUGAAAGAACCUGUACAACUUUUGGUGUUUCGCAUUUGAAGAGACUAAUGGCAGGGAAGAUUUUAGAAGCAUUUCCUUUCUAAAAGUCGACCCAUACAGCGUGUAGCUAAUGUACAAUAUACCUUUCAGCACGUAGCUAACUACAUCAAGCUGUGCUGCUCUGGAACACAGGGCUGAGGUUUUGGAGCACAGGGAUUUGCGUUGCACUUACUCUUGUGCUGCUGGGAGGUUACAAAAGGGAAGGAGGAGAGGGAGGACCACUUCCCUGACUUCCCCAAAAUAUGAGUCAGAGAUCCAAAGCUUAGACUGUAAACUGUGAUUGCAUCUUCUCUGAAAGGCAGAUCUGGAAACACAGAACAGCUUGGCUGGGAAUAGAGAUGGGCAAAUCAGCAGUGCUGGCAAGGAACGUUUUUUCUUUUCCAGCUCAUGGAGGGACAGAGACUCCAGCAAAAUGGAUGAACCUCGCCAUGGAAACAUACAGGCGUUCCAAAUGCCCUUGAGGCCUGAGCUGUUCAUUACCAUCACACCAAGCAUGACUGUAAAUGACCUUCUGUACCCUUGAUUGUAACUUCUGAGUACAGUAAACACCGCCUGGACAUCGCCUCUGCAAAAAUCUCCCCUUUCUUCCCCUGGGGCUCUUGUCAGCUCCAGGAUGACAGGAAGCAUCUGCAUCAGCUCCCAGCAACACUUCAGUGGUGCUUGCAGACAAAUUCGUAUUUCCCAAAGAUGGGAAGAAGAUUCCCAGAAGAAGGAGGUCAACUGCCUCAGGUAUUUCUAGAGAUUAGUACUCAAAUGGCA